UACCCAUCAGAAUGGUCGUAAGGGUCCCCCAGCCCGUCAUAAGUCUCCAUCGGGGGCAUCUUCUUUUUGGGGUCCGCUAUCUCCUGAUUAAUAUUCGGAGAGAAGGGUGACCCUAUAUAGGUCGAUGGUGCUCCGAUCGGGCCCCUGACCAACAAUAGCUUCUCCAAUUCGGCAACUCUUCGAGCGAGGGGGUCGGAUUCUCUUUCGUGAGGGGACGAAUGGGGUCUGUCCUUCUCACGUUCGGGAAUCUCGUCUUUCCUCCUCUGCCCAGACCGACCCGGGUGCGCGGA
rnacentral:lncRNA from 1 species